CGCCCGCGCGCGGCGGGCCUACGGGAGGCAGCAGUGGGGAAUACUGCACAAUGGGCGCAAGCCUGAUGCAGCCAUGCCGCGUGUAUGAAGAAGGCCUUCGGGUUGUAAAGUACUUUCAGCGGGGAGGAAGGUGUUGAGGUUAAUAACCUCAGCAAUUGACGUUACCCGCAGAAGAAGCACCGGCUAACUCCGUGCCAGCAGCCGCGGUAAUA
rnacentral:rRNA from 1 species